AUGGGAACGCGAAGAACCUUACCUACUCUUGACAUCCAGAGAACUUAGCAGAGAUGCUUUGGUGCCUUCGGGAACUCUGAGACAGGUGCUGCAUGGCUGUCGUCAGCUCGUGUUGUGAAAUGUUGGGUUAAGUCCCGCAACGAGCGCAACCCUUAUCCUUUGUUGCCAGCGGUCCGGCCGGGAACUCAAAGGAGACUGCCAGUGAUAAACUGGAGGAAGGUGGGGAUGACGUCAAGUCAUCAUGGCCCUUACGAGUAGGGCUACACACGUGCUACAAUGGCGCAUACAAAGAGAAGCGACCUCGCGAGAGCAAGCGGACCUCAUAAAGUGCGUCGUAGUCCGGAUUGGAGUCUGCAACUCGACUCCAUGAAGUCGGAAUCGCUAGUAAUCGUAGAUCAGAAUGCUACGGUGAAUACGUUCCCGGGUCUUGUACACACCGA
rnacentral:rRNA from 1 species